rnacentral:rRNA from 1 species
GACGAACGCUGGCGGCGUGCUUAACACAUGCAAGUCGAACGAAAAGAGGGAAAGAGCUUGCUCUUUCCGGAAUUGAGUGGCAAACGGGUGAGUAACACGUAAACAACCUGCCUUCAGGAUGGGGACAACAGACGGAAACGACUGCUAAUACCGAAUAAGUUCCAAGGGCCGCAUGGCCCAUGGAAGAAAAGGUGGCCUCUACCUGUAAGCUAUCGCCUGAAGAGGGGUUUGCGUCUGAUUAGCUGGUUGGAGGGGUAACGGCCCACCAAGGCGACGAUCAGUAGCCGGUCUGAGAGGAUGAACGGCCACACUGGAAUUGAGACACGGUCCAGACUCCUACGGGAGGCAGCAGUGGGGAAUCGUCCGCAAUGGGCGAAAGCCUGACGGAGCAACGCCGCGUGAGUGAUGACGGCCUUCGGGUUGUAAAACUCUGUGAUCCGGGACGAAAAGGCAGAGUGCGAAGAACAAACUGCAUUGACGGUACCGGAAAAGCAAGCCACGGCUAACUACGUG